AGUUGACGCUUGCGUACUUGCUUGAAAUGGCGGGUAAAGUGAAACUGAGAGCAGAACUGAGACUGGACAUUGGAUUUUGAUAACAUUCUGAUUUGGUUGUCCUGUAUGCAAAUGGUUACUAAUCGUCUUAUGAACUCCAUCAACCUCAUCAUGUGAAACCUCUCAUUCAGUUGAUCAAAUCAUAAGACAGAAGCUCACAAGUCAGUCAACCUCCUUUAACAAUGGCCGAUGAUGUGGUCCAGGAAGAUGACUUUGAUUUAUACACAGACAUGAUAUGUGAAGACUCAAAACUAGCACUUGUUGCCUGCAGAUCUUUACCCAAAUCCGUUCCAGUGCCAGUUUCUCCCCUUGGUCCAUCACCAGAUUUGAAACAUAUGUCACCAGAUUUGAAACCACCAUCACCAGAUUUGAAACCUCCGUCAACAAAUUUGAAACCACUGUCACAAGAUGUAAAACCUCAGUCCCUGGUCCCUAACAAGCCUCCACCGGAAGAGGAAAGUUUGGACUUAUAUUCUGACAUCAUAACUGACAACCUUAGACCCGAACAGUCAUCAUCUUCAGGUGACAAGUUGCUUGCAUCAAGCUGUGCUGGUUUGUCAUCUAGUGUAGUUUGUGAUGGUGUUGCUACUGCCAGGAGUGGAUCUUCAGUAAAGCCUGGUGAGGAGGACAGCAACCUGGACCUGUACACAGAGAUCCUUAGUGAUGAACUACAGCAGCGACACGACUCCCAA